GACGAACGCUGGCGGCGUGCUUAACACAUGCAAGUCGAGCGGUAAGGCCCUUUCGGGGGUACACGAGCGGCGAACGGGUGAGUAACACGUGGGUGACCUGCCCUCAGCUCUGGGAUAAGCCUGGGAAACUGGGUCUAAUACUGGAUAUGACUCCACGGUGCAUGUCGUGGGGUGGAAAGCCCUGUGCGGCUGAGGAUGGGCCCGCGGCCUAUCAGCCUGUUGGUGGGGUGANGGCCUACCAAGGCGACGACGGGUAGCCGGCCUGAGAGGGCGACCGGCCACACUGGGACUGAGACACGGCCCAGACUCCUACGGGAGGCAGCAGUGGGGAAUCUUGCGCAAUGGGCGAAAGCCUGACGCAGCGACGCCGCGUGAGGGAUGACGGCCU
rnacentral:rRNA from 1 species